UACAGAGACUGCAAGCGUUAUUCGGAUUCACUGGGCGUAAAGGGUGCGCAGGCGGCCAAGUGUGUUAGGCGUGAAAGCCCGAGGCUUAACCUCGGAAUUGCACCUAAAACUACAUGGCUAGAGUAUUGGAGAGGGUAGCGGAAUUCACGGUGUAGCAGUGAAAUGCGUAGAUAUCGUGAGGAACACCAGAGGCGAAGGCGGCUACCUGGACAAUUGCUGACGCUCAGGCACGAAAGCGUGGGGAGCAAAAGGG
rnacentral:rRNA from 1 species